rnacentral:rRNA from 1 species
GACGAACGCUGGCGGCGUGCUUAACACAUGCAAGUCGAACGGAAAGGCCCUGCUUUUGUGGGGUGCUCGAGUGGCGAACGGGUGAGUAACACGUGAGUAACCUGCCCUUGACUUUGGGAUAACUUCAGGAAACUGGGGCUAAUACCGGAUAGGAGCUCCUGCUGCAUGGGGGGGGUUGGAAAGUUUCGGCGGUUGGGGAUGGACCCGCGGCUUAUCAGCUUGUUGGGGGGGUAGUGGCUUACCAAGGCUUUGACGGGUAGCCGGCCUGAGAGGGUGACCGGCCACAUUGGGACUGAGAUACGGCCCAGACUCCUACGGGAGGCAGCAGUGGGGAAUAUUGCACAAUGGGCGGAAGCCUGAUGCAGCGACGCCGCGUGCGGGAUGACGGCCUUCGGGUUGUAAACCGCUUUCGCCUGUGACGAAGCGUGAGUGACGGUAAUGGGUAAAGAAGCACCGGCUAACUACGUG